UCCACAGGCAAGUGCUAUAUUGUGUGUGUGUGGUCAGUGUGCUCUGGACAGCCUGGGUGUGACCAUUCUGCACCCCUCGAGCUCAAAUCACUCCCAGGGGCAAAUACUUUUAGCAUAUAGAAUACCAAUAGACAUAGCAUCUGUGGCUUAAUUCCUCGUCCUUGCUUCGAAGGGUUUUUUACAGAGCUAUCCUUGUAACAUCAUGAAUUUUCAUAGGAUACGGUGGGCAAGGGAGCUAUGAAGCUACAACUGCGAGAGAAAUCAGGUACAUCACUGGGGACAUCACGCACCUUUUUUUUUUAAGCCUGAUGGAUCUAGAAGUGGGGGUGACUCUAUGCCAUAAUUCUAAGAAUCUUUAAAACUGACACCAAGGAAAUACAGGAGAAGAGAAUAACAGAGAAGUGUAACUUACUUUCUCUGAAACGGUGUUAAAAACCUGCCAAAGCACUGGUUUUUGGUCUCAGGUAAAUAUUUCUAACUGUUUUUCAUCAUAACAGGAGGAAAAGAUUUUGCAGCUGUCCUUGGUCAAAUGUCAAGCCUUCCUACCAACUGUUUCUUUUAGCUUUUGAAGCCUUUUCCACAGUGUUAAACAUUUACUCAUGAUGCAUAAAAGAUGAACCCUUGUGUUUCCUUUUGCCUACAGAACUUAACGUAUGUAAUGGACUCUCUCACCAUCAAGAUAUUAACCACUGCUAGGAGCUCCUUUCUCUGGAAAUCUUUCCAUCAGUGAAACUCAUUUACAUAAGGGCACAAGGAUGAUUUAACCACUGGCUUUCUCAGUGCUGCCAAAACUGAGGCAGCUGGGAGCUGAGGACCAAAACUGAGGCACCUGGAGAAGAUUAAUACGGACUUGACUCCGUUAACAUGAAGGAACCUGGAUAGGAACCCAGACAACCAAGAGAGAUUGUGGUCAGAGGUGGAGAACAGAAAACAGGAAAACAAAGCUCAAACCACCCAGCUCUGAGGGGCCUCUGCUGGCCAGGACAUCACUGGGAUAGUUUUGGUUUCACAUUCCUGCAAAUUUUUCUGCAUGACCCUGUGGGAUACAUCUUUCCUGAUCACUGGAUGAAGAGAAACAGCUUAGGUUUGCACUGCUGUGCACAUUAUCCCUCACUUCUAACUGAACCCUGGUAAGAUCCACUACUAGAGGUCAGGUAUCUUUGGACUAAGUAGGGCUACAGCACAUCCUCUGUGUCUGAGUCCCUGCCUGGCCAUGUCUUUUGUAUUGAAUUCCCAUAGCCUCUAAAGCUUGGCAGGUACACCCAAACUACUACCAAGAACAGUCUUAAGUCCUUGCUAAACUUUGAACAGUGGCUGAGGUUUGUUUGGGAAGAUCAGAGACUGCCCUAAAAAUUAAAAUGAGCAGAUGUUCAGGUUCCCCUGCUAGACAUAGCCACACUAUCAUCCUAAGCAGUGCACGAGGAAAAAAUGGGUUCAUAUCAUUCAGAUCUAUUAAGAAACCACAGUGAGGGACCAAAGUCAUCCUAAAAUGUUUAGGAGGACACUGCUACCACAACCCAUUUUCUAGGACUCAGACACAACACCUUUGUCCAUUGUGAGAUGGCUAUCUCUGAUCUCAGUUUGUCCACAGGAAUAUCUUUUAAAGUUCAUCUAGCCUUUCUCACAGUGAGAAAGUAAUCAUGAGUUCAUCUGAGCUGCCAGAGGAAGCUCAGGUGCCAAAACUCUGAAAAAAUGGUGAUUGAGAAAAUAUGAUCCUCCUCUCUCACAGAAAACCAUUUAUGCUCUGCUAAGUCCAAAAGACUGGUCUUGCAGUCACAAAGACAUUUCCAUGGCUGGAAGGGUUGGAGAAGGCAGUGAUAGAGGGUGAGCUGACAACAGAAGUUGCUCCAGGAGAGAGAUGGGGAAAUGUCAAAGUGGGGAGAGUGCUGCAGUCCCAGAAAGGAACACCCAGUUCUAGGUAUUACGCAGUGUGUAGAAAGAUGGAGAUUAUUUUCCUCUGUUUUCUAUUUUCACAAAGCAUCUGUCUGCUAGGCAGGAAGGAUUAAUCUCUGUCUUUAAAAUACUUCAACCUAUAGGAUCUGGAUAGAUGUUCAUAUAUAUUCUCUGUCACUAUAUUUGGGUUAGUCUAUGACCUAGAGUGGAAAAAUGCCUUUUAUUUCAAUUAAAUGUAUCUUGCCAUCAUAUGGAGAGCCUGUGGGACAAGGCAAACAGUUAGAGAGCAGGGAAAAAAUACACAUGACAUCCAUAUUAUGCAAAGCAAGAUAGUGAAGAAUGUUGCAUCUAGAGAUUUUUACAUAGUUCACACUACUGAAGAGAAAACGCCUCCUUGCUAUUUCAAACAAAACCUUAUUAUCGGCACGGUUUUCUGCAGUGAAAGUGUGUAUCAUUGGAGCUGUCAGGUGUACUUCUUUGGUACAUACUUUCUGUUCUCAGUUAUUUUCCUCUGCCAACAGAAGCUCGAACAGUGCAAUUCUGAGUCUCAUUCUAGCAGGGUCCGCAAUCCCAGUGAAGAAUGGCAUUACCUGGUUUUGUCCUGUCAGGGCAUGGGCUACUCCAACAGGCAACAAGGGGCAUUUUGGCAAGAAUGCACCAUGGCAACAGCACAGAGAUAUCAUCAGCACCUCCACAGUAGUUGCCAUAGUACAAGAUUAAGACCAAGUCUGAUUUCACAGACUGUAUCACAAUGGCUUUCAAAUAGCCUGCCCAGAUUGUCCCAGCCUGUUCCUGACAUCUUCAUUACCUCUGUGCAAUAAGUGUUACGUAAUGUCUGUGACUUGCAAAUAUUUGAUUAUAAAUUCAAAUUGCUGUAAAAUUCACAGUUAAAUAUGAGCUGCAGAUAGGUUGAAACACAGAUGUUUCUUGCUGGAAUUAGUCCAGAAAGCCAGAUUUAACACCAUGACUUCCCGGAAAACCAGUAACAGACUCAUGACUGGCAGGACUGUGGCUGAGACCAGUCACACCUACCAUGCCCUCUGCGUCUACUCAGGGAAAUGUUACAACUCCUUGACUACAAUAUCAGAAACUUUGCCAUUUAUUAUCCCAUACACUUAUGUAUCUCAGCCCUACUAUUUUCACCCUGCUUACAACCCUCCCCAUAUCUCCCCUCUUUUGUGCACUCUAUUUUGGGUGUGGUCUAACUACCCUGCAGUACCCAGUAGCUUUUACAACUCUCCUGCUACACACCCAGCAUUUGACCCUUCAUGCUCCUCCUGCUGCAGGAUCUUCUGCCUCCAAUCCCCUGCUCCCCUCCAAAGCUCCAGAUCCAACUCAGGUCACUUUGCCUGGUGUCCUCCAUGAAGGGUGUCAGAAACUAGGAAUAAAAUAAUUUAUGGAGAACAUUUAAAAUCAUUCCAUUGAUCAUGUACUGAACUGCUUUUAAGGUAUCUUGGAGGAACUUUUAAAGUCCAUCCUGUAGUACCCAUUAGUGCAAGGCCAUGGAAUGUGUUUUCCUUGUACCACAGGUACCAGCUAACAGUGUAUUCAAGUCAUAUUAACUGCAAAUGGACCCAGCAGCAAUUUCCAAACUUCAUGUAUUUCAUCACAAGCCUUGUGCUGAAAAGCCUAGAAAAUGAACACAUAACCUCCAUUAACACUGCACUAUAUCUUUUUCACUUAUUCCAGAAUAAAUGGCUAGAUUUUCCCACAGUCUCAAAACAGCAGGUGACUAGCAACAGAAAAUAUCUUGCUUUGCUCCCCUUAGACCUCCUAAGCAGUCAUUUUCCCUGUUCCCUGAGCUCAUGGAUCAGUGAGAAAUUCUCCAAUGUUGAAUUACAGCUGCACAGAUGUCAGUGGCCAGAACACCUACCUGCCCAGAAUAUCUAGUGCCUGCUUCCCUAUUUCAUGAAAUAUCCUGUCCUCAUUCUAUCUCAACAUUUCCUGCACAUAAAGACAAAGCUGGUGUCAAAGCUUGCAAACCCACUGUUUCUGUGACAGAGACCUACACGAAAAAUAUCAAGCCAGCUACUUGAAGCAGUUGGCUGCAAAGACCUUUGGAAUACAAAGACUGUUCAUUGAAACAGGACUUUCAGGCAUAUGAACAUAGGUUGGAAAGCACUUACUAUCUUCAGCCCCCUUGAUGCUGAUGAGAGAUUAUGAGGAUGACAUUUUAAGACAGAAAUUGUUUAUUUGUGAUAGAAACUGGAGGAAAAACAAACCCUUGGUUAUUUUUUGAACUAUGAGCAAGAUUUACCAAAGUGGCUUUGGGGUACGUUUCCCUUAUCAAAAUGUCUUGCAAAAUCUGAGAGGUAUGAAAUGGUUGGAGAAAUCACAACUUUUCAGAACUGCAGCUAAACAUGUGAAAAGGCAGCUCGGGAACUGGCAGAGAGCAGUGUUUCCAUGAGCGGGAAGUCGACAGAGAAACCUUGCAAUGACCCAGGAGUCAGUAGGAAAGGACGGGGAGAUUAAUGUGGUUUUGAACAGACAAGCAGCUCUUAUGGAAAACAAGUUGUACUGAAACUUCCCUCCCACUCUCUCUCAUCCUGCAGCCUCAAGUGGCUCUGUGUCUGGAUCCCCAGACCUCCAAAGAACUAUCAGACUUGAAAGGCAAGGUCCUCAAGAACCCAAACCACUGACCACACCAGUGCCCGCCUCAGACGCCUCUGACCCAAAUAUGACUUUAUUGCUGCAACAAUAUUUCUUCCAGCUCUUCAGAUUCCUGAAAGGUCAUCAGGCAGAAAACCCACAGCCACCAACAGCUGUAGUCUGUAAUGUUCAGAGUUGUGGGAGCUGUCUGCAUUGCACUGUCACUGAUAAGUUCGAAGCACAGUAUUUGCCCCAUUUUUUUUUUUUUAAUUUAUAGUGCUCAGAGUACGUAUUCACCAUUUUUGCAGUUUUGCACUUUUGGUUUUCAAAAAAAAAGAGAUUUUUUUACUCAUUGCUGUAAUUUUAGUUUGCAUUUAAUAAUAAUAGUUUGCGGCUAUUAAAAACAUAAUUUUAAAAAAUUUUAUUUGCAAGAGUUAGAAAGUUUGUGAUGCAGUCUGGGAGACAAGGGUACAGUUUACUGUCCUUUAAAUGCAACCUAACUUGCACACAAGAAAAUCACUUUACAAAAUGAGCUUAUGGGUAGUAAAUGGUUCAAAACCAUGCCAGUUCUCCAAAUCAGAAUACUGACAUCAUCCCGGCAGUGUCAUCUUACCUUCUUUGUCCAAGUACAUGUUCCAGUGCUCUCCUGACCUUCUCCAGAUAAAUAUUUAGGUAAUAAUUUUUUGUUGUCAUUGUUCUUGUUUUUGUUGUUAUUUAGUAAACUUUUUUGCCAAGGAAGGUAGAGUAUCAAGAAGUAAUCAAAGAGAAGGUAAGAUUAAUUGGCAGUGACGUUAUCAGCAGACUAACCAAGGUCUGGAUACAGACCCACUACUGUCACCCAGUUAUCCACACAGUUAAAUUGGCUCUCUGGUACUGUUUUUGGCAUCAAACACCAUCCAGGAUAAUGCCUGGGCACAAUUCAGGUGACACAGACUGAGGACCACCCUUCUCUUUGUUUUGGAAGGGUAUGAAUAUGAGCCAUGCCAUGCCAGAUGGCCUUAGGGACAAAUCACAGUCCUUGGCCCAUUUAAUUUCCUCAUACAGAUGUUGUUCCUCCCUCUGCAGAGGACUGAAGACCUCAUUUUCUUUAAAAAUAGAGGAAUGAGCUGUUGCAGCCCUAGCCCUGUGCAUCAGAUCAUUAUGAAUCCUUCUAGAACUGCCUGAUUAAUCCUUGUUAUCCGGACUUUCUGCCGGCACCCUGUCACUGCCCCUCAUCUAAUGCUGCAGCACAACCCCUUCCCAUCAGGUAACACUCAGUUCCACUGCCCAGAAGGGCACCACAAGGGGUGAAGUGUCUUCAGGAGUGUGCUGUGAAAGUUUUCAGUCCAGACUGGAAAGGCCCAUAAGUACCCUGUAAUAAACGUAGGGACAGACUAUUUCUCAUCAGAUACAAAAAAUAUACAGAUGGAGACUAGGCUAAAAGGUUUUGGGUUUUGAUGUCCUGCACUCAGAAGUUACAAAAUGAAGCAAGUGACAUUUACAGCUGUCAUAUGAAGUCACUGCUAUAUAUUCUUUAGUUGCAAAAUAAAAACCCUCUUUCUCAUAAGAUACCUCUCUCAUCUGGGAUUAGAGACCAAUGCUAAGAUGGUUGCAGUUAUCCCAAUCCGUAUGCACCACCUUCUUCUAUUUGCAUCACACCUUUUAGCCUACUCCAAAUUACUGAAAUGUUUUCCUGAAGGGCCUUCUUUUGCAAAUUCAUUUUCUCUCUUGCUGGAAUUCACUUGAAAUACAAGAGACACAGUGUGUCCCACUGCUAAGGUGCAGCCUGGGCUGUGGAGAACAUUUUGACCUUAUGGCCAAAGAUUUUUCUGUCUCUUCUCUCAAGUAGAAUUAGUUUUUUACCAUCCUUCCCACUCUUGCCUUUUCCACUUGUUUCAUUUAUUUCUAUGCACCAAUCUUUUUUUUUCCUCAUUUCAGUUUUUGAGUCCUACCCUAGAAAGUCAUUGCCACAAUUUAACAUACAUGUAAGUCAAUUUGCACCAAAAAGGUAUCCUGCUCUCCUUCCACACCCCAAACAUGGUCCUUCACCUAUCCCUGACCACAGCUGUCGGUAUUCCUUCCGUAUCCAAAAGCAUAUGAAAGUCACUAGGGUUAAGUGAACAAGUAAUUUUUUUUUUUAAUUGGCCAAGAAAUGAAUUUUCGUAAUUUAAAAAAAUAACUUUUGUGUUCACCCAAGAUCUCCUAAAAUUAUUUUUGUUUCAAGCUAAUACCUACCAUUGAAAACAAUGCUGGUUGUGGGAGUUUAGAAAAAUAAUAAGUAGUUGGAAUAAAGGUAGUUUCUAGGAAACAUCUGAUUUUCUCUUUAUAAGCAGAAGCUUGCGCUUGUCUGAAGGAACCUGGGGUUUUCAUGCUACAUUUAUGUCUUCUGUCUUACCAAAAGCCUAUGUCAUCUACUGGAACAAAGGCUGCAUGCUGAGGGGAACACAUCUAUCUUCAUGAUGGAUGUUUGGCCCAUUGCCUGAGGCCACAGCUCUACAGCUCUAUAGCUGGAGAUGGUUCUGUAGCUCUAUAGCUGGAGAUGGUUCAGUAGGUUUGGUAGAAUGGUUGUUAAAAUUGACUGUAAGUCCUGAGCCAGCUGCCAAAAUCUGCCUCCAGCAAGUGCGGCUCCUGGUGAUUCCUGUCCUCCCUCAUUAUCUUCAGAGCUUGCUCCUCCCUCUAUUGUCACUUGUCUGUGCUUGGCUUUGGGGUCCCCGUGGCCCCACCUGCACUUGCAGUGCUCUCAUCACCUCGAAGCCUUCAGCGACUCUGGUCACACAGCCUUUGGGGCUCCUUUGGCCUCCCACUGAAUUUGAAGAUUAAAGAAGCCAAACCAGCUCGUUCACUGGGAGUUGCAGGCAGUGGACUCUCUGAAGGAAGGCCUUUGGUGCUUUUUUCUCCUUUGGAGCAAAGGAAAACAGGCUAAUUAAAACCAAUGGACUUGGAGAGGUGUUAGCUGCUGCCUCACACAUUGGGUUUAUAGACUGAAUCUUGUUCUCUUUAGGCUUCCAGAUUUUUCUCAGUUACUAUUUCUCCUGUCACAUACUCAACUGUUUCUUGUCAUACACUCACUGCUUGUGCCUGCCCUUUGGAAAAACUUUUCUACAAUCCUACACUUCAUCAGUACAAUAAUUAUUUCAAGCUUCCCUGUUAAACGUAGAGAGCUAGUGUGAUGCACAGCAAAAUGGAAGGAAGUCUUCUUCUGGAUUUCAAUAUGUUUUGAAUGAGGUAUUUUUCCUUGCAGAAUCCUGUUUUUUCAUCGUCUUUCACUUAGUUUGGUAUUCAAGAUGUGUGUGAAUGUGUGUGCCUGUGCUUGUGAUUUCCAUCUCCCAGACUUUUAGCCCUGAAAACGAUACAAAUUUGGGAGAUAAACUCUAAAGACAUCAUUGAUGAAGCAUUGAAGCCAAUUCCAUGUUUUAAUCCUGCAUAAAUUAUCCUGGAACUCAGCCGACAUUUAUGAUGUGUGAGAGAAUAGAAAAAUAAUGGGAUUACUCAGAAUUUUCAGAUGAUUAUAAACAUAUGGUGCAGGAGGGUAUAAGAACAAAACAUACUGAGGGAAAUAUCAGUAAAUGAAAGGUUAAUAAUGGAAAAAGUAAGUUUGGAACCUCAUAUGUGGCCUAUUAUCAAACACUACUGACAUGAAAGAAUUCCUGCAGAACUGUUAAAAGUGGACAGCUAGUAGUUUAAUGAUUGUAGCAAGAAAACUUUAGGCAUUGGAAAGGAAACUAUAUGAUUAUAAAAGAACUCAUCACAUAUUUAAGCCUCCUAUGAAAAAUGGUAGUUUUGUGUCUGAGGUUCCAGACUGGGACUCAGAUCUUGAUUUAUUUCCCAGUUCUGCUACAGAUUUCCUCUGUGACCUCGGGCCAGUUACUUUGGGAGAAAUAUGUUGAAGCUCCUAAACGGCUUAAGAAUCCAAGUCCCUUUACCAAAAGGGGCAUAGGAACAGAUUCACAAAGAGAAAAGCAUAUGAGAAUGCCAACCAUAGCCAAGGCUAUCCCCAAAGAGACAGUGUUCUACCACAUCACUUGCCAGUUCUGAGCACCAAGAGGCCUCCAUGCCUCAAGGAGAAAGCCUGCCUUCUGAAUAGUCAUGGAAAAUGAGCAGGAGGUGGCAUGGGAGGGAGGGAUCAGCUGCCCUCUGACCUCCUGUGGGUACUGUGAAGCAGGCAGACUUGGGAAUUGCUCUGUCUCAUGGUUUCCAGCUUCUGCUCAGUUUUCAUUGGUGGCUCAUAUCUGGGAGAGGCUCAGUUGUGAUGUCUGGAUCUGUGCAGGCAGAAGAUGCCAGGAUUUACAUGGUCAGGAGGUUUACCCUGAGAGAAACAGGGACUCCUGGCUAUUUGCAUCCUGCUUGGGUUGAAAAAGAAGGGACCAGGAAUAACCAUCUCUCUUGAGGACAACUGGUUUUGGUGUGGGAAACUUUUCACCUAGUUCACUCCCACGCAUGGCCCUCAGCACUGAAACCUACAUCCCAAAAAUCCAAGAGAAGUGAUAAGAAAGAGGGGUAGUCUGUGCUCUCUUGCUCCCAGUCUGUGAAGCUGAAUUGUAACCAAGACACCGCUCCCCUUUUCUUCCUUCGACCCUUGGGCUUCCUUAUCAGGGUUAGGAACAAAGUGUUUAUUUGUUUGCCAGUGCAGGAUUUAGCUUCCUAAUAAAACUCACAUAGCAACCAAGCAAGCAAGUAAACAUGAGGCACCUAAGUGUUGUUGCCUCCAGAUUUCUGACAGCUUUGAAAAAUAGACCCUUUUUGCUGUUGCCAGCUCGUGAAGUACAAAUAGCAAUAGCAGGAUAUUCUUUGUCUCCAUCAUCCUGUAUUAGUCCAUGCUGUACAUAGUCUCACAGCUCUCACACAAAACAGGAAUGCAAGCAGUAAUAAACCUGUAAUGCAAGUAGGAGAGCCAAGGAUGGAUAUUCACUCUAGCUUUCCAUAUGCUGUAGCACUGAUAAAAGGAUCUUUCGGACAUCUCUUUCUCCUUCUUAAUAUGCAGCAUGGUCAUAACUCAGAAACUGCUUUGGACAGGAUUCACAAACUGCUGUGUCUGUGUAAAGUCAGUUGAAAGUAAAUAAAAUACUUUCUGCUUUAGUCCCUUGGAUAUCUCCAAUUGCCAUGGUUUGUUUCAUUCUGCAUGGAAGUAUAUGAAGCUUAAGGUAUGGGGUAGGUCAUUAAGGUGAAAAAUUUUACGUUUCUGAGAUUCAAAAACGUUCUAGCAGAGAAUCUCCCUUUAAAGCACAUAUUUUGUUGUCAGUGGUUUUGGCAUAAAAAAAAGAUCCAUAUAAAACAUAGGAAAGAAUGUAGCAUAAAGGGGAAAAGGUGGAUCCUCAUAAUUUAGAAAAUAAUAUUUUAGUAAUCAGUGUUUGCUAAUAGGAGUGGGGAAGUAGAAGACAAUUCAGAAAUAUCAAAGUAAAUUUUUUAAUUUUCCUCAAAAUGUUUUCAAUCUAGAAUACUCCACCUACAUCUUCUGCCUUCUCAGCAAAGCAAAGGCAGGCUGAUCUCACAGUUAGCUGAGCUUGAUGCACUAAAGGAAAGCCUGUUCUGAGUACUGACUGCUGAAAAUUGCAUUUCAUCAAAGUUGUUUAAAUCUUUAGGGUGAGAAUAGGAGCAAUUUCACAUAUCCAAGUAGCUAAAGUCUCAGUUAAUAUGUUAGGUUCCACAUUCAGAAAAAAAAUUAGUUUCUGUCACUGUGACCUUUGGUAUCUGCUUUUAUAAUCACUGUGAUCAAAGCAGUCCUUCUGUCAUGGGACAGGAUUCCCUUCUGGAAUAUUUCCACAGAAGUUGAGACAGCUGUUGCAAAAACAUAUUUUAAAAAGCUGCAGGAAAUCUGUCUGUAGCUGAUGCUUUUCCCAAGUUUUAAGUCUUGAAAGAAUCUUUCUGUUUCCUGUAAGUAACUGUGUCUUUUAAUUUGAUAUAUCUGCUUGUAGAGGGGAAUCCUUUCAGUGUCAGUUUUUCUCUGAUGUUUGUCUGAAAUCGCUUUGGUCAAAAUUAUCUUUCUAAAUCUCUUGGCUACUGUAUUUGUUACAAACUACCACUGAGCCAUAAUCUUCUGGGUCAAGGGGGCCAUUAUGAUCAUCCCAUUAGACUUUGGACGUAAGACACUAUGGGGAAUUACAAGAUAGAAUUGGGUUGUGAGCUGUAAAACCUGCCUGCAGAGGCACAUGGCAGCACAAAGGAGCACAGGCAGCACAG